rnacentral:rRNA from 1 species
AUAUUAGUUGUUUGUCCUCUGCCCUCUAUUAUAUUGUUAAUUGUUUGCACUUUGCACUUUGCAGUCAUGGCAGAUGCAGGAGCUGAUGGGGGUGGUGAUGCUUAUGAUCCAAUGAAAGAUCCAGAACGCAGGCCACGGAGGUCAAAUAGCUGGAAUUAUGGGUAUUGGUUAAAACCUGGCAACAUCAAUAAUGUUGUGUGCAAUCUUUGUGGCAAGAUAACUGGAGGGAUCAAGAGACACAAAGAGCAUCUUGCUGGCACUGGUGGGGAUGCAACAGGUUGUCCAAAGGCUACCACACAACUUAGGAGGGAGAUGUUACAAUAUUUGGAAAAGAACAGGAGAAACAUAGGACAACCUGAUGAUGAUGAUGAUGUAGUGGAGGUAGAUGUAGCAGCAGCAGUUCAACUAGUUCAAGGCUCCGCUACAAGACCAAGUUCAGGGACAACAGCCAAGAAGAACAAGAAAGCCUUUGCGGUAAAAAUUUCAGGCAAAAAGUGUUAA